GAGCUCUCUGGCCAGCCCGCCAUCUCUAUUGUGUGUAUACAUUGAUGCCAGUGGUUGCCAGUAAUAGUUAUGCUUUACUUUAUAAUGUCUUCGUUUCUUCCCAUUGUUUUUGUUUUUGUUUACUUUAAAGCUAUGUGGGUUGUGUUUUUUCUAGUUUCCUUCAUUAAGCUGUUUUAUGCACCUGAAAGGAUUCUGGCAGAGAAUGUGGGUGACCUGAGACAACAUAAUGCUUGACUUCUUUUACAGAUUGGAUAAUCUUUGUGUUUACUUGUAUGCUAUUUUUAGAACUCUAACUCUGUUUUUCAAGUCACAUUGCUACUUGUUACAGAUGGACAUACUGUAGGGCAUUAUGAUCAUUUAAA